rnacentral:rRNA from 1 species
AAAUGAAUUGACGGGGGCCCGCACAAGCGGCGGAGCAUGUGGAUUAAUUCGAUGCAACGCGAAGAACCUUACCUGGGCUUGACAUACACCGGAUCGCUGCAGAGAUGUAGCUUCCCUUGUGGUCGGUGUACAGGUGGUGCAUGGUUGUCGUCAGCUCGUGUCGUGAGAUGUUGGGUUAAGUCCCGUAACGAGCGCAACCCUUGUCUUAUGUUGCCAGCACGUGAUGGUGGGGACUCAUGAGAGACUGCCGGGGUCAACUCGGAGGAAGGUGGGGAUGACGUCAAAUCAUCAUGCCCCUUAUGUCCAGGGCUUCACACAUGCUACAAUGGUCGGUACAGCAGGUUGCCAGCUCGCAAGAGUGCGCUAAUCCUCUAAAGCCGGCCUCAGUUCGGAUUGGGGUCUGCAACUCGACCCCAUGAAGUCGGAGUCGCUAGUAAUCGCAGAUCAGCAACGCUGCGGUGAAUACGUUCCCGGGCCUUGUACACACCGCCCGU